rnacentral:rRNA from 1 species
GAUGAACGCUGGCGGCGUGCCUAAUACAUGCCAGUCGAGCGAACAGACGAGGAGCUUGCUCCUCUGACGUUAGCGGCGGACGGGUGAGUAACACGUGGAUAACCUACCUAUAAGACUGGGAUAACUUCGGGAAACCGGAGCUAAUACCGGAUAAUAUAUUGAACCGCAUGGUUCAAUAGUGAAAGACGGUUUUGCUGUCACUUAUAGAUGGAUCCGCGCCGCAUUAGCUAGUUGGUAAGGUAACGGCUUACCAAGGCAACGAUGCGUAGCCGACCUGAGAGGGUGGUCGGCCACACUGGAACUGAGACGCGGUCCAGACUCCUACGGGAGGCAGCAGUAGGGAAUCUUCCGCAAUGGGCCAAAGCCUGACGGAGCAACGCCGCGUGAGUGAUGAAGGUCUUCGGAUCGUAAAACUCUGUUAUUAGGGAAGAACAAAUGUGUAAGUAACUAUGCACGUCUUGACGGUACCUAAUCAGAAAGCCACGGCUAACUACGUG